rnacentral:rRNA from 1 species
UUAAGCGACUAAGCGUACACGGUGGAUGCCCUGGCAGUCAGAGGCGAUGAAGGACGUGCUAAUCUGCGAUAAGCGUCGGUGAGGUGAUAUGAACCGUUAUAACCGGCGAUUUCCGAAUGGGGAAACCCAGUGUGUUUCGACACACUAUCAUUAACUGAAUCCAUAGGUUAAUGAGGCGAACCGGGGGAACUGAAACAUCUAAGUACCCCGAGGAAAAGAAAUCAACCGAGAUUCCCCCAGUAGCGGCGAGCGAACGGGGAGGAGCCCAGAGCCUGAAUCAGUGUGUGUGUUAGUGGAAGCGUCUGGAAAGGCGCGCGAUACAGGGUGACAGCCCCGUACACAAAAAUGCACAUGCUGUGAGCUCGAUGAGUAGGGCGGGACACGUGGUAUCCUGUCUGAAUAUGGGGGGACCAUCCUCCAAGGCUAAAUACUCCUGACUGACCGAUAGUGAACCAGUACCGUGAGGGAAAGGCGAAAAGAACCCCGGCGAGGGGAGUGAAAAAGAACCUGAAACCGUGUACGUACAAGCAGUGGGAGCCUCUUAAUGGGGUGACUGCGUACCUUUUGUAUAAUGGGUCAGCGACUUAUAUUCUGUAGCAAGGUUAACCGAAUAGGGGAGCCGAAGGGAAACCGAGUCUUAACUGGGCGUUAAGUUGCAGGGUAUAGACCCGAAACCCGGUGAUCUAGCCAUGGGCAGGUUGAAGGUUGGGUAACACUAACUGGAGGACCGAACCGACUAAUGUUGAAAAAUUAGCGGAUGACUUGUGGCUGGGGGUGAAAGGCCAAUCAAACCGGGAGAUAGCUGGUUCUCCCCGAAAGCUAUUUAGGUAGCGCCUCGUGAAUUCAUCUCCGGGGGUAGAGCACUGUUUCGGCAAGGGGGUCAUCCCGACUUACCAACCCGAUGCAAACUGCGAAUACCGGAGAAUGUUAUCACGGGAGACACACGGCGGGUGCUAACGUCCGUCGUGAAGAGGGAAACAACCCAGACCGCCAGCUAAGGUCCCAAAGUCAUGGUUAAGUGGGAAACGAUGUGGGAAGGCCCAGACAGCCAGGAUGUUGGCUUAGAAGCAGCCAUCAUUUAAAGAAAGCGUAAUAGCUCACUGGUCGAGUCGGCCUGCGCGGAAGAUGUAACGGGGCUAAACCAUGCACCGAAGCUGCGGCAGCGACGCUUAUGCGUUGUUGGGUAGGGGAGCGUUCUGUAAGCCUGUGAAGGUGGCCUGUGAGGGUUGCUGGAGGUAUCAGAAGUGCGAAUGCUGACAUAAGUAACGAUAAAGCGGGUGAAAAGCCCGCUCGCCGGAAGACCAAGGGUUCCUGUCCAACGUUAAUCGGGGCAGGGUGAGUCGACCCCUAAGGCGAGGCCGAAAGGCGUAGUCGAUGGGAAACAGGUUAAUAUUCCUGUACUUGGUGUUACUGCGAAGGGGGGACGGAGAAGGCUAUGUUGGCCGGGCGACGGUUGUCCCGGUUUAAGCGUGUAGGCUGGUUUUCCAGGCAAAUCCGGAAAACCAAGGCUGAGGCGUGAUGACGAGGCACUACGGUGCUGAAGCGACAAAUGCCCUGCUUCCAGGAAAAGCCUCUAAGCAUCAGGUAACAUCAAAUCGUACCCCAAACCGACACAGGUGGUCAGGUAGAGAAUACCAAGGCGCUUGAGAGAACUCGGGUGAAGGAACUAGGCAAAAUGGUGCCGUAACUUCGGGAGAAGGCACGCUGAUAUGUAGGUGAAGCGACUUGCUCGUGGAGCUGAAAUCAGUCGAAGAUACCAGCUGGCUGCAACUGUUUAUUAAAAACACAGCACUGUGCAAACACGAAAGUGGACGUAUACGGUGUGACGCCUGCCCGGUGCCGGAAGGUUAAAUGAUGGGGUUAGCGGCAACGCGAAGCUCUUGAUCGAAGCCCCGGUAAACGGCGGCCGUAACUAUAACGGUCCUAAGGUAGCGAAAUUCCUUGUCGGGUAAGUUCCGACCUGCACGAAUGGCGUAAUGAUGGCCAGGCUGUCUCCACCCGAGACUCAGUGAAAUUGAACUCGCUGUGAAGAUGCAGUGUACCCGCGGCAAGACGGAAAGACCCCGUGAACCUUUACUAUAGCUUGACACUGAACAUUGAGCCUUGAUGUGUAGGAUAGGUGGGAGGCUUUGAAGUGUGGACGCCAGUCUGCAUGGAGCCGACCUUGAAAUACCACCCUUUAAUGUUUGAUGUUCUAACGUUGGCCCGUAAUCCGGGUUGCGGACAGUGUCUGGUGGGUAGUUUGACUGGGGCGGUCUCCUCCUAAAGAGUAACGGAGGAGCACGAAGGUUGGCUAAUCCUGGUCGGACAUCAGGAGGUUAGUGCAAUGGCAUAAGCCAGCUUGACUGCGAGCGUGACGGCGCGAGCAGGUGCGAAAGCAGGUCAUAGUGAUCCGGUGGUUCUGAAUGGAAGGGCCAUCGCUCAACGGAUAAAAGGUACUCCGGGGAUAACAGGCUGAUACCGCCCAAGAGUUCAUAUCGACGGCGGUGUUUGGCACCUCGAUGUCGGCUCAUCACAUCCUGGGGCUGAAGUAGGUCCCAAGGGUAUGGCUGUUCGCCAUUUAAAGUGGUACGCGAGCUGGGUUUAGAACGUCGUGAGACAGUUCGGUCCCUAUCUGCCGUGGGCGCUGGAGAACUGAGGGGGGCUGCUCCUAGUACGAGAGGACCGGAGUGGACGCAUCACUGGUGUUCGGGUUGUCAUGCCAAUGGCACUGCCCGGUAGCUAAAUGCGGAAGAGAUAAGUGCUGAAAGCAUCUAAGCACGAAACUUGCCCCGAGAUGAGUUCUCCCUGAGACUUAGAGUCUCCUGAAGGAACGUUGAAGACGACGACGUUGAUAGGCCGGGUGUGUAAGCGCAGCGAUGCGUUGAGCUAACCGGUACUAAUGAACCGUGAGGCUUAACCUU